rnacentral:lncRNA from 1 species
CUAGAACUCCUAUAAUUCUUCUUCCUAUGGCCGAAAUUCUCUCUUUCUUUUCUCUCUUUGAAGUUGGCUAGCUUGGGAGCAAGAGAUAGAAGAAGAAGAUGGAGAGAAAAUGAAAUGUUGGAAUACGAAUGAAGUGUUGGAAGAAUGAGAUGUGCAUUCAAAAUGUAAUGGGCAAUUCAUUAUUAAUUCUCCCACAAUCAUUUUGUUGCCCAUUAGGUAAGACACUUUGUAUUAUUACUUACCUUAGGUUAAACAUGAUUAAAUGUGCAUAAUGGAGUGGCAACCAAUGGGAGCCUUACAACAUUGUCCUUAUGUUUA